CCCCAAAUCUCUGCUCCUUUCCAGGUCAGUGAUGUAGCUGUAGGUGUGUUUGUACAGCUCUUUUGGGGCAUAGCACCAGCAUGUCGUGGAGCGGAGCUGAAGUUUUCUACCUGUGUGCAGCAGGGAAGAGCUGGAAUUCAUGCGGGUCUAAGAAACCCACAGGCUCCUGCAUACUCAUAGUUACUAGAGAAGAUCCAGACCUCCAAGGAUGUUUCAGCUCAUUCCUUCCUCAGCCAUUGACUGUUUCUUGUUUGGACACAGAAGUUGCCUGGUUCAAGCCCUGAAGCAUGAAGCACAUCAGAAGACACCUCAGCAGCGCAGGUCCUCCUGCAGUUACCUACACAAACUGCCAAAGCCUCC